rnacentral:lncRNA from 1 species
GAUGACUUUAGGCAUUUGUCCAAAGGAUACAACUUCAGUUAUUGAAUUAGUACCACUGUAGACAAAACCCUAGCUACCUUUUAAUUUUGUCUGAUCGUGUGUAAAACGUUUACGACAAUAAUGAUUAGCUUAGUUGAAGAUAUCGCGGAUACUGAAAAAUAUAUGACCAGCCUAAAUAAAAUCGGUGUAUGUAAUUUUGUCUUGAAAAGCUAUAAAGUUACUGUGUGGUUAAUGCAGUUUUUCGUUAGUAGAAAAUACAAAAAUCAGGUUCACUCAGUAAGCUUCUUAAAGUGAAAUAUGACAUUCAACAGUACUCAUUAAUUUUGCGAAUCGAAACAGUUAGUGACUUGCCUUAAAUAUAGUCAGUAAAUAAGAAAAA